rnacentral:rRNA from 1 species
GAGGCCGAAAGGCGUAGUCGAUGGGAAACAGGUUAAUAUUCCUGUACUUGGUGUUACUGCGAAGGGGGGACGGAGAAGGCUAUGUUGGCCGGGCGACGGUUGUCCCGGUUUAAGCGUGUAGGCUGGUUUUCCAGGUAAAUCCGGAAAAUCAAGGCUGAGGCGUGAUGACGAGGCACUACGGUGCUGAAGCAACAAAUGCCCUGCUUCCAGGAAAAGCCUCUAAGCAUCAGGUAACAUUAAAUCGUACCCCAAACCGACACAGGUGGUCAGGUAGAGAAUACCAAGGCGCUUGAGAGAACUCGGGUGAAGGAACUAGGCAAAAUGGUGCCGUAACUUCGGGAGAAGGCACGCUGAUAUGUAGGUGAAGCGACUUGCUCGUGGAGCUGAAAUCAGUCGAAGAUACCAGCUGGCUGCAACUGUUUAUUAAAAACACAGCACUGUGCAAACACGAAAGUGGACGUAUACGGUGUGACGCCUGCCCGGUGCCGGAAGGUUAAUUGAUGGGGUUAGCGGUAACGCGAAGCUCUUGAU